CUUGAACUGGCUCUGGAGCUUGAGCUGCCCUUAAAUUUGUGAUCUUCCUUCCUCAGCCUCUUCAAAUCCCUGGGCCUGCAGGCCUAUCUAUGCAACAAAGCCUGAGUAAGGCAUCUUAAAGGGCUUUAAGAUGACUAGUCAGAAAGUACCAGAAGGAGUUAUGUGAGCUUCCACCACUGUCCACAUUGAGGACGGUCCAUAGUCGCCUCCAGAGAUGAAUUCUGCCCUUCUUGGUGGACAGGAGAGGGACACCUUUAUGAACAAACAUGUCUUGCUUUGGGUAGAGAGUUUUUCUGUUUCUCCAUCUUCUGUCUUUGAUUCAACUGUCCUUGCCAACGGGGAGAAGCAGCUAAGCUCUGGUGGGCACAGAGCCCAGGGAGGAGACAGGGACACGUGUGCUCUGUAUCUGCUGUGGUCUCCCCCUCCUCCUCUGAAGGCCUAGGUUUAAUGUGGAGUCAUUAAUGAGAAGAAGAAUUAACUGAAUUUAUCUGUGAAAGUGUUAAAAGGCUCACGCUCCGCCUGAGGAAUGAGCUGCACAAGAAGCCUGCGGUAGAAAUUGCCUGUGUAAUUGUAAUCUUUUAAAUGCAAUUCCUGCAGAAAGAUGACUCAAGCUUGCUUUUUCUGCUUCCUUUCCUCCCCCAUCCACUUCUUGCUCAUCCAGGUUAUCUGUCAGACCAGCCACCGAGGCUCUGCUCACAAACAUGUAAAUGCAGAUCAGGUACUUACGCAGACACUUAGGCAGUGGAACUUGAUUGCUGCAGCCGGAGCUGGCUGGUACACC
rnacentral:lncRNA from 1 species